rnacentral:lncRNA from 1 species
CUUCAUCUUCAGAAGGAGAGAUGCCCUGAGGCUGACGAGGGGAAGGAGAGAUGCCCUGAGGCUGACGAGGGGAAGGAGAGAUGCCCUGAGGCUGACGAGGGGAAGGAGAGAUCCCUGAGGCUGACGAGGGGCAGGAGACUUCAUCUUCAGAAGGAGAGAUGCGCUGAGGCUGACAAGGGGAAGGAGACUUCAUCUUCAGAAGGCGAGAUGCCCUGAGGCUGAGGAGGGGAAGGAGAGAUGCCCUGAGGCUGACGAGGGGAAGGAGACUUCAUCUUCAGAAGGAGAGAUGCCCUGAGGCUGACGAGGGGAAGGAGAGAUGCCCUGAGGCUGACGAGGGGAAGGAGAGAUGCCCUGAGGCUGACGAGGGGAAGGAGAGAUCCCUGAGGCUGACGAGGGGCAGGAGACUUCAUCUUCAGAAGGAGAGAUGCGCUGAGGCUGACAAGGGGAAGGAGACAUCAUCUUCAGAAGGAGAGAUGCCCUGAGGCUGACAAGGGGAAGGAGACUUCAUCUUCAGAAGGCGAGAUGCCCUGAGGCUGAGGAGGGGAAGGAGAGAUGCCCUGAGGCUGACGAGGGGAAGGAGACUUCAUCUUCAGAAGGAGAGAUGCC